AUGGCCUCCUCUCCUGGUGACUCCAAUCUCCAACAAACAAGACAAAUUUCUUUCUCCACAAAGCAUAUGGAGCAGCAUGGGUCACCAAAGGGAACGUAUCAAUAUUGCUGUGUAUAUAGAUGAACUCGAAGUGAUUGAUAUGGCACAGAGGUUCCAAGUCUAUGCCCCUCUUGUGAAAGAGAAACUCACGGCCACACGCAUACAUAUCACAUGUCACACCAUUAAACUUUUUCAACAGCAAAAAUACUUUCCUAGGCUGUGAAAAUGAGAGCCACAAAAUCCAAAGUUCAGGCCCUUCUUUUGUAAGUCUCAUAUGCUCCUUAUGAUAUCCAGAUGCCUUUUUACAAAUAAUGUUAACAAACUAUCCUCCAUCCCUUUUAUAUAUAAAAAAACAUCUGUAUUGAAGGUGACCAGGCCCACAGUUUCUCAAA